ensembl:lncRNA
CCGGAAGUGGGGCAGAGGUCUGAGUUGGUGACUGGGUUUUGUCUCCUGGUUGUGGGCGCUGUCCCGCAUCUGCUGGCCUGUUCAAAGAUCGUGAAUUGGUUUCUCGUGUUCGAUAAUUCUGGCCAAGUCCCACCUUCCCUUUGUUAGCUAAAUACGGUUGGCACUGAGACCUGAUUUUUGCAUGUUUUUGUGCGAGAGGAGCUUUACUUGUUAACAUUUGCAAUGGUCUGUGGCCCUUGGGAACCCAGACUUCAGCGCCCUGCAAGGGUGACUCAGGCAGCCCACAUGGUCACUCUUGUCUCCAGUGCCUGACGUUGGCUCCCUGCCAGUCCUCUCCCCUCUGGCACCAUUCUCUUGUCCUGAGAAAACCUCUGGCAGGGCAACUUCAGGCCUGACUGAGCAGACACCAUCAGACCUCAAAAAUACACAUACACAUUCAAAGACAAGAGUAGGAAUCUUCUCAGUAACCAUAAAAUAUGAGGAAUCCUGGAAAGGUGGAAGAUGGAAAGUGAAAGAAAGGAAACCCUGAUGUGGAAUGCUCACAGAGAGGUACCAUGUGGAGUAAAUAUCUGAGGAAUUGUUGAGUGAUAUGGUAGAAAUAUGAACAACCUCAGAUAUGUAGAUGAUAUGGCAGAAAGUGAAGAGGAACUAAAAAACCUCUUGAUGAGGGUGAAAAAGGAGAGGGAACAAUCUGGCUCAAAAUUCAACAUUCAAAAAAUGAAGAUCAUGGCGUCCAGUCCCAUCACUUCAUGGCAGAUAGAAG